GUUCUUACCUGGCAGGGGAUCACUAAGGUGAUUCUCCUAGGAUGAGGCCCAUCCGUUGCACUGCGUGAAAUUUGACUACAUAAUUUGUGGUAGUGGAGGACUGUGUUCGCAUAUUCCCCUG